GGCAGCGGCGGCCCCGCCGCCCUUCCCGGGCGCCCCCGCCGGGCCGGGGGGAUCUGCCGCCCUUGUGCGAACUUGAGCGCGGCAACUCGGGCUGGCUGGGCCGGGGCGGCUCUGCCGCGCUAUUUAUAUCCAGCCCUCGCAGACAACAACUUAACAAAAGCCCGCGCCGAGGAGCGAGCGGGGCUGCGAGGGAGCUCGCCUGGGGGCGGGGGGGAGCUGCAGCGGCGCUGAAAAGUUGUCCUGACACUUGUUUAAAAUGCAUCGCUUAUUCAGUGCUCUGAGUCACGGGCAAUUAUUAAAUGGUUGCUUAUUAUGCCUCUAGCGUUUAAAGACGUGUGAGCUCCGGGUAGGUAGUUUACUUGCAAGUAGUGCUCGGUUUCUAACUGUUUGAGGAAAGAGUGAAGGGCUGAGCUUGUUUUCAUACAGGUUGUAAGUUGUCUGUGUUUUGGUUAUAUAUGUUGUUUCCAUUUGUGUGCAACUUUUGCAUGCUUUAAAUGCACGCCUUGCAGAGGGUGGCUCUUAGAGGCGUCGGUGAGGACUGGUCUGCGUGAAAAUGCUGGCUGAGGAGUCAGGUGUGCUGGACAAGCAGUGCUGCCCCUUGGGAAGAAAGGACACUGCGAACAAGGUCAUACAAAGAAAUUUAAGGCGAUCCGUUAAGACUCAGUAGCAUUUUUAACACCUUAUCAUCUGCUUGUAUUAGAAAGUAAGUAACAAUUCCCUGUCCUCAGUAAGGGUUUGGUUUUUUGUUUUUGUUUUUUUUUUCCCAGAGGAAAGUAAAACAAAUACCAGAAAGUGUUUUCGGUUAUUUCCCGAGACUCAGUUACCUGGUUCUGGAAGAUGAGAAGUAAAUGCUGCGUGCCUGAUAAUUUCAAAAGAGAGGGUGGGAAGGGGGAAAGUCUUGAAUUCUAGGAUAACGCUGAAGGUAGAGGUGAUCAUCUCUCAUACGAUACAUGAGCAUACUGUAUGUGUACCAUAUAUGAUCAUAUUAAUGA